UUUUAAGGCAAAGACUGUAAUAAGAGCUAAAGAAGGGCACUUUAUCAUAAUAUAGGGGACUCUCCAGUAAGAUCUAACAGUUGUAAAUAUUCAGGCUCCUAACAUGAGACACCAAAAUAUAUAAAACAAUUAAUAGCAAAGAUAAAGGAACUCAUUGAUAAUAAUACAAUACUAGUAGGGGACUUUAACACCCCACUUAUAGCAAUGGAAAGAUCUAAGCAGAAGAUCAACGAGGAAACAAUGACUUUGAAUGACACACUGGACCAGAUGGACUUAACAGAUAUAUUCAGAACAUUCCAUCCUAAAGCAGCAAAAUACACAUGGGAGAUUCUCCAGAAUAGAUCACAUACUAGGUCACAAAUCAGCCCUCAACAGGUUCAAAAAGAUUGAGAUCAUACCAUGCAUAUUUUCUGACCGCACCCUUGUGAAAUUAGAAGUCAACCACAAGAAAAAAAUUGGAAAGACCACAAAUACAUGAAGGUUAAACAACAUGCUACUAAACAAUGAAUGGGUCAAUCAGGAAAUAAAAGAAGAAAUAAAAUACAUGGAAACAAAUAAAAAUGAAAAGCAGGGUCUUGAAGAGAUAUUUGUUCGUGAUAGGAUUAUUCACAAUAGCCAGAAGGUAGGGUCAAGGGAUGAAUGUAUAAACAGAAUAUGGUAUAUCCAUAUGAUAGAAUGUUGUUUAGCCUUUUAAAAAAUGAAAUUCUGUUGUAUGCUCUAACGAGGAUGAACCUUUGAAGAUAGUGUGUUAAGUGAAAUAAGCCAGUCACUUAACUUAAUGUUGUGUGUUUCCAUUUAUGUGAGGUUCCUGGAGCAGUCAGAUUCAUAGAGACAGAAAGUAGAAGCUGGUUGCCACGUGCUGGGAUGAGGGAGAACUGGGGAGUUCUUGCAUAAUGGGGACAGUUUCAGGCUAGAAAGAUGAGAAGGUUCUGGAGAUGGAUGGUGGUGAUAGCUGCAUAACAAUGUGAAAGCACUUAAUGCCACUGAACUGUACACUUAAAAAUGGUUAAAAUAAUACAUUUUAUGGUAUAUAUAUUUGUAAUAAAAAAGAAAAAAAUACAUCAAUAGGGAGAGAGGGAAACAAGUAAACAAAUCUAAGAUAACAUUUUCCUUUUUCACUCUCAUGCUCUGACAAGGAUACAGUGGUUAUUUCCAGAGGCUACAUGUCAGGUGACUCUGCAACUAAGUGACAGAAACAGAUAAAAAUCUAACUGUCUUCUCUUAAGGAUGGUGUUCAAGAGAUUUGCAAAAAUGUAAAAUGAAGCCUCUCUUUUCUUUCCUUCUUUCUUUCUUUCUUUCUUUCUUUCUUUCUUUCUUUCUUUCUUUCUUUUAUUUUGUUUUUUACAAAGUAUACUUACCUCUGUAUUAACACAUAUCUUAUUUGUGGUAAAAUAUAAUGGUUUGUUACUGUUAUUAUUAAAAGCACACAUAUUUAUAAAAUGUCUCAGUUUUAAUUUCUAGUAUAGUAAAUAGAACCCAUAGAAAUAAAAGCUCAUUGAAGUGUAUAGGGGGGUUGAGGUCAACAAGUCUACUAAGCAUUGAUGUGACAAUUCCGAGGCGAGGCAGGGGAUUUAUUCUCUGUGCAUGUGUGCUGGCCCACCCUGAUAAGCUGGUCUCUUUCUUCAGGCUGGCAAGCGACCUACAGAUCCAGCCUUGUGGUGAGUGAGCAGUGAUGGGGAUGAAAUAAUGAACUUCAGUGAACUGAGUGAACUCAGCCAGCAGGCAGCCAAUGUCCUUUUGGGCGCAUGCAGCCAGCAGCAUGGGGACCUUGUGGCCGUGGUGCUGCCCCAAGUGCCUGAGAGGUGGCUGGUGACCCUGGGCUGCAUGUGAGGAGGUUGGUAAUUGGCCACCUGGUCUGGUCACCCUCUCCCUUGUGAAGGAAGCUGAUGGCAGAGAAAUUCAACUGCCCCUCCCAAAAGAUGUCCCGUCCACAUAGCAUGCUGUCUCUCCUCAUAAGGAAAUACCACCCUUUUUUCUAAUUAUUUAAGCAAGCUAUGCACCAAGCACUAUGCUAGAGGUUGCUAAUACAGAGUAAACAAAACAUGGCCUGUGCAUUCAUGGGACUUAAAGAUCUUUGGAGAAAGAUGGCCAUUCAACUAUUAAUUGUACACAUAAUUAUUUCAUCACAAUUUUGAUAAGUGGCAUGAGAAUUUUAUAAGAACUUAAUGAAAAAAAAGUUGGCAAACUAUGACCUAUAGGCCAAAUCUGGUCCACAGAUUGUUUUUGUAAAUAAAGUUUUAUUGGAACAUAGCCAUGCCCUAUUUACAUAUAGUCUGUAGCUGCUUUUGCACCACAGUGGCAGACUUGAGUAUUUGGGACAGACAGCAUCUGGCCCAUAGGGCUGAAAAUAUUUACUAUUUGGCCCUUUGCACAAAAAUGUUGUCAUUCCCUAUUAUAAAAGGAGACCUGAACUGACUAAUCUGAGAGGGUCACUGAAGUCUCAGUGGAGUGAUAUUUGGGCUGGAAUCUGAAGGAUAUGUGGGAUUCAGCCAGAAGAAGAGACAGAGAGGGAUGCCUCGAGCAGAAGGAACAGAACAGACAGGAAAGAAGCUUGCAAAUUAUGGGAAACACUGAAAAGAUGUCUGUGUAUUUGGAGACAGCAAGGAGAAACUAGUGGCAAGUGAGCCUGGAAAGAUGGGCAGGACCCUGGGUGCCAUGGGGAGGGUUCUGCAUCCUUAUCCAGUGAGGAAUGGAAAAGCAUGGAUGGAUUGAGUGACAUGAUCAUAUUCUGUUUGUAAAAGGUCAUGCUGGAUGGUGCAUAGAGAUGAGAUGAAGGAGGGCAGGAGUGUGUGUGGGAAACCCAGACAGGAGACAAGGCAUGAUGGUGGCUUCAAGCUUAGAUGGGGUGGUUGAGACAGAGACAAGUAAGUGGAUUUAAGAGGCAAUUAGGAGGAAGUUGAGAACACCCUUUUUUUAUGUUUAUUUAUUUUUGUGAGAGAGUGUGAGCAGGGGAGGAGCAGAGAGAGAGAGGGAGACACAGAAUCCAAAGCAGGUUCCAGGCUCUCAGCUGUCAGCACAGAGCCCAAUGCGAGGCUCGAACCUACAAACCAUGAGAUCAUGACCUGAGCCAAGUCAGACGCUUAACCAACUGAGCCGCCCAGGCACCCCAAGAACACCCUUUUUUGAUGAAUGACAUAUGGUAGUGGAAGAAAGCCAGGGAGAUGGAGAAGUCACAGACACUCAGGCAGCUGGGUGGAUGCUACAGGCUUUCCCUGCAGUGAGGACCAUAGGGAGAAACAGGUAUUGGGGUGUUGGGAUAAGAUGACAGGUUCAGUUAGGUAAGUGUUGGGGGUGCUCAUGUGAUGUUCAAGAAGGGAUGAGAAGUUCCCAUUAAAAGAUAAAUAGGUCCUGGGGAUGUAAUGUACAGCAUGGGACUCUAGUUAACGAUAAUGUCUGGUGUAUUUGAAAGUCGCUAAGAGAGUAGUUCUUAGAAGUUGUUAUCACCAGAAUGAAUACUUGUAAUUAUGUGUGGUGAUGGAUGUUAACUUGUGUGGUAAGCAUUUCGUAAUAUAUCCAUAUAGCAAAUUAUUACUUGGGACACCUAAAAAUAGUACAGUGUUAUAUAUCAAUUAUAUCUCAAUCAAAAAUAUGUAUGGGAAAAAGAAAAGAAGGGAUUGGAAGUGAGAAGAAAUUGCAUUGAAGGGCACAACAGCUGGGAUGGAGACAGAAAUUCUAGAAUCAUCAACCUUUAGAGAUGAGAGAUGACAAAUGGAGAGGUCUAAGAAUGAGCCACAGAAACUCCUGCACAACCUUCCCUCGUUCCCACCCUUUCCUUCCUGGCCUCUCUCACAUGCAACAGAUAUUCUCUCAAUAAGGAGGAAGAUGUAAUUGUGGUCAAAACACAGGAGUAAUCAGAGGAGGUAGAAACAAUUGUAGGAACUUGGGGUCUCACAGAGGCCCUUCCAGGCCAUGUGAAGAAGGUGACAGAGUGAGAGAUUAUGGUCUGAAGGGAAGGAGAACUCAGCGGGGGAGAUGUGUCUGCUUUUCUGUGGGCCUGACUCAACAUGGCCAUUAUGGUGGAGACACACUGGACGUGGUUAACAGGUCUGCAGUGUGGAUCCUGAAGUGUUAAAGUGGGAAGAAAGUGAGCCAGGGGUAAAAGCUGUUCAUCAGGAGGAAUGUGCGAAAUCAGCUUUGUAAAUGGUGAACUGUAAGUCUAGUUAUUCUCUAGAAGAAUAAACAGGGGCUCCUGGGUGGUUCAGUCAGUCAAGCAUCCAACUUCAGCUCCGGUCACUCACAGCUUGUGAGUUCGAGCCCAGCAUCGGGCUUUGUGCUGACAGCUCAGAGCCUGGUGCCUGCUUCAGAUUCUGUGUCUCCCUCUCUCUCUGCCCCUCCCCUGCUCACUCUCUGUCUCCCUCUCCUUCCACAAUAAAGAAACUUUAGAAGAAUAAACAAAAUCAUGAGAGUCUCAUCAAGAUAGAAAACAAAAACGAAGAAAACUAAGAGCACUCUCGCCUGUGAAAAUUCAGUGUCCCAGGUUUGGGAGAAGUCACCAGGGUCUAGAGUAGGACCUGUGUUGCAGGACUAGAAAAUUCUAAAUGUCUUUCCUUAGUUUAGAUCCUAUAUGAGAGUCUUUGGAUACAGGAAACUCCUGUGGGGCAGUGUAUGUGUGUUCGGGGGGGUGUGGGGGAAGAAGGGUUAGACUGUCCAUGGUGUGAGAUCAGUUUCUCUCCUUAGUCCCAGUACACCUCUUGAAGUUCACCACCACCAGGAAAUCUGUUACAAUCACUCUGAUCCUCAGUGGCUUGUUACUGAUAUUCCCCAGUGGCCAUCCCUUCCUCACCCCUCCCCCAUUUGCUCCCUACUGGCUGUUUACAUCACGUUUCUCUAGGGGAGAAGAUAACCCUCACUCCCAGUUCUCUCUAAGACUUUUGGCUCCUCCAGGCCUCAUCUUCAUGCCCGGGACUAUGCAAAUGAAAGCCAAGGAUGUUCUGGGUAUGCCGCAGAUGUCUAAGGCCAGGGCCAUCAUGGCUGGCGACAAAGUGGCCCAGGCAGUGGACGCUGUGACCCCUGACUGCCCUUUCCUGAAAACGAAGCUACUGGUAUCUGAGAAAAGCUGGAAUGGGUGGCUGGAUUUCAGGACACUGCUACGAGAAGCGUCUACCACUCAUUGCUGUGUUGAGACUGGAAGCCAAGAAGCAGCUGACAUCUACUUCACCAGUGGGACUAGUGGCCUUCCCAAGGUGGCAGAACACUCCCACUCAAGCCUGGGCAUCAAGGCCAAGAUGAAUGCUGGAUAACUUGGGAUCUCCUAACCUCUUCAGUGUUUGGAUCCAUGUAUCUAACAGGAUUAGCACAAGGUAUAUAUGUUCCCCCUUUGUGAUGGCUACCAGCAGCUCCAAAUAUAGGUUUUUAGCAGUUUAGCAAAUCACAUAAUACAAGAGCAUCUUUUCCCCUAAAGGCACCAGCAAAAGUCUUCAGGUUGAUUCUCAUUGGACCGUGUUAAGUCAUGGGCCCAUCAUUAAAUCAAUCCCUUAAGCAGGGUGAUGGAACACUCUGAUUGGUCAGUUCUGGGUCAUGUGAUCACCUCUGAAGCAAGUGCAGGAAAGAUGGAGAAAAGACAGACUUACACCCAUGAUGAUAUGGACUGAGGGAGAGAGGCAUAGCUCUCCACAGGAAAACAGGGAUGCUCUUACCAGAAAAGGCAAAAAGCACAGAAUCCACUAUAUACCUGUGUUCACUCUAGGGCAGGGAACUAAAGCAUGGCAGUUGACACUGAAGGGGUCCCAGUUUUUGGAAGUGGGCGCAAGAUAGGAGUUUGCCCCAGGGAAAGGGAAAAAAAAAAGUAUUUUUGAGUCUAGGGUAGAGAUGAGAGCAGCUAUGUUAAGCCUAAAGCUAAUGAAAUCUGUACAUAAUCCAGAAGUUCACUGAUGCUUUGUCACCACAGGGUAAUUGUCCUACGUGGAUUUUCUGAGAAAUCAACUCUGGGAAGGAGAUUAACAUGCAAGAGGUUUAUUAGGGAGUGCUUUGGGAUCAACACUUGAAGAAAGAAAGAGAAAGGAAGGGAAGGGAAAUGAAAGGAAAGGAAGGGGCAGGAUUGGGCAACAGGCGAAGGUGCACUGUGAUGUAGUCACACUGGGGACCUCAAACACCCCCAUGGGGAGUUCUGCAGGUAGGAUGACCUUUCAGAGUUUUCUGAGCUGCAGGCAAGUUGGGAGGGUGCUUUAUAGCCCUAUGUAGAUCAGGCAUGGUUGCAGGCUGCACUGGGAUGGGAAUAUGGCCCUGGGAGAGGAAGCUUUCUUUGGCUGCAGCACUCCCCUAAGA